CAAAAAAAAGAAAAAAAAUGUGAUUUUGCAGGGAAAAUACUCGAGCAUUUUGAGUUAUUUUGUUUCAACCUAAUUGGUGAAAAAUUGUGAUAAUAUUUCUAUUUUUCUUCUGCCUUUUCUCUCCAAUAGUUAUUUUUUAACAUAAUUUUAUAAUUUUUUCACAAUUUUCUUUCCAUCAAAAUAUGAAAAAUAAACAAAUCACUUAUUUUUCUUUUCCUUCCUAUAAAAUUUACUUUCUUUAUAAUUCCAUUCCCUCUUGUUUCACAACUUUCCUUUCUUCCAAACAGGCUCUUAGGUAGUAAGACAAAAAAGCACCUUGCAUCCUUUCCAAAAGCCACCAUAAAACUUGAAAUAGGGCCCCAUUGGCAUAGCUCUUCUGGCCGGAAACCACUAACAAUGAUUAUUGUUGUAACCAUUAGAUAUUUAGAUUCCACUGCUCAUGAACCAAGAAACACAAACCUAUUUAACUAACAAUGUCAGCCAUAUCAUCUGACUUGUUUAUCAAAAAUCAAUUGGUUCAACAAUAAGAGCAAAACUUCCAUUGGUUCGACAAUAAGACCCUAAACAUAAAUACCAGAAGCAAGCAGCAGGAACAAGGACCCGAAACCCAGAAAGAAAGAUGCCAAUGCUCCUGUUGUAAGCUCCUUGGCAAGACUGCGAUUUCGCUUAGAUGAUGUUGCUUCAUAGCUGUACAAGAUACAACUGUUAUAAACCAAAAUGGUGGCGGUACAGAGAGGCUAUGCAUUGUAUAUAUAGCGAAGCAUGAAACCAGGUAACUUUCCAUGAUGACAAGGCUAUUGCUUGAGCAUGCCUACUAACACUACGAUUUUCAGCCAAUGAAAGGAAUUAAGAAAUUCAAGGGAGAAUUUUAGAAAUUUAGGCGGUACCAUGCAGACUAUUUAAGCACAAGUCUUCCAUUCUUAAUUAUCACCUUAGUUAAAAAGUUAUAUCAUAUGACUUUAUCAUAUUUGAAAAAACAACUAGCCAUUAACACUUAAAUUGAGAGCAACAACAAGAUGCUUUCACAAUUGAUUAACAAAUCACAACAACAUCCACAAGCGCUAGCAUAUGAUAGCACUUUGAAAAUAAAAAAAUUACUUUUCCAUCAUAUGAAUGUUUUGCCACCAUGCAGAAAAACAACUCUUUUAAAGGAAGAAGAGAAUUCCAUUAAUGAAAAGCAACAUUUCCAAUUUGAAAAUAUAAGCAGAAGCACAACCAAAAGAGAAAUAAUAGCAAUUCACAGACACAAUGCUAUCAUGUCUGACUAAAAGCAUCAUUCACAUAAGUUCAAGAACGGUCCUCCAACGCAUGUAAUAAACAAUACUCAAGCCUGAAAACAAUUUUUUUUGAGUUGUAACUAAUAAACAAAAAGAACUUGAAAUGCAUUAUGUGAGAUAAACAGAGAUAGUUUUUUUCACCUUACACAAAUUUAUACAUUAGCACUUCCAACAGAAAUUUAAAAGAACUCCACAACAUAUUAAGGAAUGUUCAGAAAAAAGAAAAUGAAUUUUAAGAGAUGCAAAGGAUAAACAAAAGUAGCAUUCUAUAGUUUACUAAAAUCUUUUGACAAUACAUGCUAAUGAAAUAUUCUUUUAAUCCAUCUAAACAUUGCUGCAUCGAGUCAAAAGUGACAGUUCAAACUUCGAAGAUGUCUUUUGAGAUUUAUGGAACAUAAAUUCGACCUCACAAUUGAAAAUUUACAGUACAUAAUCUUCUAUUAGUUCAAUGAAAUCCCAUGUAAAUAUAAUGCAAAAUCUUCGAAUAUCUUAUGAACAUCUCAUGUAAAUAUUCAAAAGUAAAGGAACAUGUCAAACUCUAAAGUAGAGUUUCAACAACUGGAGAUCAUACUUAAAAAUAGAUGCUCAGGAGAGAAGGGAAAAAAAGGGGCUAACCACAGCGUGAUAAUUAAUAAGAGUGAUUUUGAAAUUUUAGAAUACAUUUUGUC
rnacentral:misc_RNA from 1 species